GUUUGAUCCUGGCUCAGGACGAACGCUGGCGGCGUGCUUAACACAUGCAAGUCGAACGGAAAGGCCCUGCUUUUGUGGGGUGCUCGAGUGGCGAACGGGUGAGUAACACGUGGGCAACCUGCCCAAAAGAGGGGGAUAACACUUGGAAACAGGUGCUAAUACCGCAUAACCAUAGUUACCGCAUGGUAACUAUGUAAAAGGUGGCUAUGCUACCGCUUUUGGAUGGGCCCGCGGCGCAUUAGCUAGUUGGUGAGGUAAAGGCUUACCAAGGCAAUGAUGCGUAGCCGAACUGAGAGGUUGAUCGGCCACAUUGGGACUGAGACACGGCCCAAACUCCUACGGGAGGCAGCAGUAGGGAAUCUUCCACAAUGGGCGAAAGCCUGAUGGAGCAACGCCGCGUGGGUGAAGAAGGUCUUCGGAUCGUAAAACCCUGUUGUUAGAGAAGAAAGUGCGUGAGAGUAACUGUUCACGUUUCGACGGUAUCUAACCAGAAAGCCACGGCUAACUACGUGCCAGCAGCCGCGGUAAUACGGAAGGUCCAGGCGUUAUCCGGAUUUAUUGGGUUUAAAGGGAGCGCAGGCGGACUCUUAAGUCAGUUGUGAAAUACGGCGGCUCAACCGUCGGACUGCAGUUGAUACUGGGAGUCUUGAGUGCACACAGGGAUGCUGGAAUUCAUGGUGUAGCGGUGAAAUGCUCAGAUAUCAUGAAGAACUCCGAUCGCGAAGGCAGGUAUCCGGGGUGCAACUGACGCUGAGGCUCGAAAGUGCGGGUAUCAAACAGGAUUAGAUACCCUGGUAGUCCGCACAGUAAACGAUGAAUACUCGCGGUUGGCGAUACACAGUCAGCCGCCAAGCGAAAGCGUUAAGUAUUCCACCUGGGGAGUACGCCGGCAACGGUGAAACUCAAAGGAAUUGACGGGGGCCCGCACAAGCGGAGGAACAUGUGGUUUAAUUCGAUGAUACGCGAGGAACCUUACCCGGGCUUGAACUGAGGGGGAAUGAGCCAGAGAUGACUCAGUCUUCGGACUCCCUUGGAGGUGCUGCAUGGUUGUCGUCAGCUCGUGCCGUGAGGUGUCGGCUUAAGUGCCAUAACGAGCGCAACCCUCAUCCUCGUUUGCCAUCAGGUAAUGCUGGGCACUCCGGGGAUACUGCCAUCGUAAGAUGUGAGGAAGGUGGGGAUGACGUCA
rnacentral:rRNA from 1 species